UGAGAAGAGAAGGGCACGGUAGAAAAAGGAUUCACAAUGAGACAGACUGUAAGGAAGAAAGUAAAUUAAUUUGUUAGUUAGGCAUGGAGACAGAAACCCAUCAAAGCUCAUACAUUGGAGACAAUAUUCAGUUUGCAGUAAAAGUCUUGAAACAAGACAGAUCAAAAGAGCAGGAAAACGAAAUGGAGAAAGAAAUGCCCUGACUUGAAUGAGAAGUGUCGUGAGGCUGAAUGCCUUACAAAGACGGUCACUGGAAGACAAGAGCAAAUCAUUCCAACCAUGUCUCUGCCUCUGAUAUGCAACCUUCUGCUGGAGAUGGAGCACAGAAACAAUGCAGCCAGUUCUUCAACCAGGAACAGAAGACGGGACUACCGAAGAUGAUAUUCUGAUACUUGGAUCAGUCUGGGGAGACUGGCUGUGUGCUCCAGACAGAGCACAUCAUCACCUUAGUGUGCUGUACAUUUUUAUAUACAUAAUAUCAUUUUUAGAAUCCUACAGUGUGGAAACAGGCCCUUUGGCCCAACAAGACUGCACUGACACAGAGCAUCCCAUGCAGACCCAGCCCCCUAAUCUACACAUCCCUAAACACUAUGUGCAAUUUACCAUGGCCAAUCCACCUAACCUGCAUAUUUUAGGAUGGUGGAAGGAAACUGGAGCACCGGGAGGAAACCCAUGCAGACAUGGAGAGAAAGUGCAAAUUCCACACAGACAGUCACCCAAGGGUGGAAUUGAACCUGGAUCCCUGGUGCUGAGAGGCAGCAGUGCUAACCAUUGAGCCACUGUGCCGUCUCUAUAGUUAUAGUACAGCAGGAUGCUAUUUAAUCCGUCAUUUCUAUGCUAGUUCAAUUUGUUAGAAUAGUAUCAAUGAUGAUUGUUUUCCCGACAGCACAAAUGGUAAUGAGGAGAUCUAAUAAAAUUAUUCCACAUUACAAACUUUUGAACCUUUUAUUGAAAAUCACACAGUCUUAAUUUCCAUUAAACAUCUGGGAAUUAGUCAUUACUUUUUUUAUCUUGCCAAUGCAGGCUGCACCUGGAAAGUUUAGAAAUGUGCAUUCUCCUUCCAUCAACAACACCACAGUGGAUCUGCUGGCACUGUCUGUGAUAAUUAUUACAUUGCAGUAAGAACUGGAAUCUGUCUCCCAUGCUUUGUGCAGGCAAUGGAAGUUAAAGUGAUGAUAAAAGAAAUUUAUCAUGAAGGGAUUUAGAAGGUUGUAAACAUUCUUCACUUUUGCCCUGAAGAACAGCUGGAAUUUUGGAGCUGGCUGGAAGAUUAUGACUAUAAUUAUGCAAACUAAACAAAAUGCAACCUUCUUCUAGGGGACAAAAUGUCCGACCCAUGAAAGAGCCAUUUAUUAAUCAUAUGUCAUGCUGAGUCACUCAUUGCGUGAUCCCUGUGGGUCAUCACUGUCGGCACACUUGUUGGCAAGGAAAUAUCACUUGAUUAUGACAAAAAUAAGGUUGAUUAUCUAAUGUAACUGAUGACUCAUGGUUUUGUAGAGUAUCGCAUCAUGAUCAAUAGAGCAUUAGGUAGUUUACAUCAAUCUAAAUGAGUGAUAGAAAAGUCAUCACAAUAGAUUCAGAGAUAAUGGGAACUGCAGAUGCUGGAGAAUUCCAAGAUAACAA